UACGAAGGGGGCUAGCGUUGUUCGGAAUUACUGGGCGUAAAGCGCACGCAGGCGGACUGAUAAGUCAGGGGUGAAAUCCCGGGGCUCAACCUCGGAAUUGCCUUUGAUACUGCCAGUCUUGAGUCCGGGAGAGGUGAGUGGAAUUCCUAGUGUAGAGGUGAAAUUCGUAGAUAUUAGGAAGAACACCAGUGGCGAAGGCGGCUCACUGGCCCGGAACUGACGCUCAGGUGCGAAAGCGUGGGGAGCAAACAGG
rnacentral:rRNA from 1 species